CUCACACCUGAGAGACAGGCAGAAAGUGACGGUUCCUGUGUGCGUCUGGGCUUUACCCAGUCAUGACGUGAUGCCUGGAUCUGCAGCAGCCACUUUGCCACCCUGAAAGGAGCCAAUUGGAGGCUGAGACCAAUACUGAAAUGACAGCAUGGAGAAAAAACCUCUGAGUCUUUGGUGACAUUGCUGAGCUGUUGAAAACAGUCAAUCCUGGAGCUGUCCUACCUGGGCUUCUUGUCGCAUGGGACAAACUAAUCUUCCUUAGGGUUAAGCUGGUUGAGUUAGAGCUUUUUAUGACUGCCAAAUACAUCCUGAUACACAGCACAGCUUUUGUAUCAGUCAGCCGGAAAAGGGAAACACCAUCGGAUAUUUGAAACAGAGAGGAUUCAUGUGGCGCUCGAUUGCGCAGGCUACAGAAAGGCUGAGAAACCCAGCAAGGGGCAGCGAGGCGACUCAGUGAUGAACAACGGCAAGAUGCCGCGGCCCGGUCCCCAGGGUGCGGGACGAGCAGGGAGGGUGGUGCUUCCCAGGCCCAGGAUCAGUGUCACCCGGAAGAAGCUGAACCACAGGAAGGCGCCCGGUGACGCUGGAGCCACCGAGGAGAUGCGACGGCUGCUGGAGGCCCUGUCCAAGAUGGGACGGGCUCCAGGCAGGAUGACAACGCACAGCAUUUAUAUUCUUGGCUCUCCCAUCAAAAAUACUCAUGGUGGCUUUCUCUGGAUGGUCGAAUUUGGGUGGAUUUAAUUUUUACUUAUCUAUAGUUUCUAACUUAUCUACAAUGAUCACAUGUUAUUAAGAGCAUCGAUGGCCCUGGGUUCAAAUCCCAGGUCUGCCGCUU
rnacentral:lncRNA from 1 species